rnacentral:rRNA from 1 species
UACGUAGGGGGCGAGCGUUGUCCGGAAUUAUUGGGCGUAAAGAGCGUGUAGGCGGUUCGGUAAGUCUGCCGUGAAAACCUGGGGCUCAACCCCGGGCGUGCGGUGGAUACUGCCGGCUAGAGGGUGGUAGAGGCGAGUGGAAUUCCCGGUGUAGCGGUGAAAUGCGCAGAUAUCGGGAGGACACCAGUGGCGAAGGCGGCUCACUGGACCGGAACUGGACGCUGAGGCGCGAAAGCCGUGGGGAGCAACAGGG